rnacentral:lncRNA from 1 species
UUUGUCUUUGUUGCCAUUUAAGUCUCCUGCAAGACUUCUCUCCCCUCUUUGUCUCUCUCAUCAAAUUAAAUUCAUAUCCACCAAACCCAUUUAUCUCCAUCAAAGCCAUUCCUUUUCUGUUGAUAGUGUUCUUUUUACUUUCUAAUGAUCAUAUGAAUAACAUAUAUUGGGUGAUUCAUUAGAUAUCAUAUGUACUUUUUUUAGAGACGUAGAUAAUUCAUUUGUUUAUCAAAUCUACUAGUAUGAUUGGUGGGUUUGAACAAAGAGAGAGAGAGAGAUUCGAUGAGAAAGAGAUCGGAGAAGGAGAUCGGAGAGAGAGAGAAAGACGGCGGUAAAGGUGGGUGUACUUCGGAGCUCCGAUCUGGUCAGCGACGACAAUAAGUUUCAGUCCGGCUUAUUAUUGGCUGCAAAUUAAACGGGCCGGUGCCGGAACCACCGGCGGCGGUGACGGUGGUUCCGACCAUGGCUGUGAUGGAGGUGAUUAGUGUGAAAUUUGGUGACCAAUUUGCAAGCGUUGCCGGUGCUUUUUUGGUAGAUUUCGCACAGUGAACUAUGAGGGUUUUGGUCCGUUUGGAUUUUUGGGCGGUGAUGAUGCAAAAAAAAAAAAAAAAAAACGUAUAUUUU